AUUGAACGCUGGCGGCAGGCCUAACACAUGCAAGUCGAGCGGAUGAAGGGAGCUUGCUCCUGGAUUCAGCGGCAGACGGGUGAGUAGUGCCUAGGAAUCUGCCUGGUAGUGGGGGACAACGUUUCGAAAGGAACGCUAAUACCGCAUACGUCCUACGGGAGAAAGCAGGGGACCUUCGGGCCUUGCGCUAUCAGAUGAGCCUAGGUCGGAUUAGCUAGUUGGUGAGGUAAUGGCUCACCAAGGCGACGAUCCGUAACUGGUCUGAGAGGAUGAUCAGUCACACUGGAACUGAGACACGGUCCAGACUCCUACGGGAGGCAGCAGUGGGGAAUAUUGGACAAUGGGCGAAAGCCUGAUCCAGCCAUGCCGCGUGUGUGAAGAAGGUCUUCGGAUUGUAAAGCACUUUAAGUUGGGAGGAAGGGUUGUAGAUUAAUACUCUGCAAUUUUGACGUUACCGACAGAAUAAGCACCGGCUAACUCUGUGCCAGCCGCCGCCGUAAAAC
rnacentral:rRNA from 1 species